AUGGAAAACUAAUGGCAUUGUCACACAGCGAGCUUGAAGCCUUUGGGGCCGCUCUGGAUACGGGUGAUGGAGGAGUCGCCUAGGAGAAAGAGGAGUGCGAUGUGAAACUGUAUGUAUGAAAGGUGACCAUGCAUGCAUUUAAAGGAUUCACUGUUAUUUUCCAUGAGUGACUGUUCUCAGGGCUGUUACUGAAGGGACUUGAAUGCUUUCCAUUUCUGACGUCAACGUCGUCCCGUGAGACUCAACAAGACCCAACUGUAAGAGAUGAUCAACUUAAUGUGAUUGUGUCUGUAUUCUGACCGAACGUCUCGAUUUGUUGCGAUUUCAGACCUUGAUGUGUCCAUCUCUUUAGUGUGUGUUGUUGC